rnacentral:tRNA from 1 species
CCGCGUGCUGCCCUACCGGGGGGAGCUCGUGGCCACUGCCCAGGAGGCGCUGGCGGUGGCGGAGCGGUUCGACACCGCCCUGGCGGACC